rnacentral:rRNA from 1 species
GAUGAACGCUGGCGGCGUGCCUAAUACAUGCAAGUCGAGCGAACAGACGAGGAGCUUGCUCCUCUGACGUUAGCGGCGGACGGGUGAGUAACACGUGGAUAACCUACCUAUAAGACUGGGAUAACUUCGGGAAACCGGAGCUAAUACCGGAUAAUAUAUUGAACCGCAUGGUUCAAUAGUGAAAGACGGUUUUGCUGUCACUUAUAGAUGGAUCCGCGCCGCAUUAGCUAGUUGGUAAGGUAACGGCUUACCAAGGCAACGAUGCGUAGCCGACCUGAGAGGGUGAUCGGCCACCCUGGAACUGAGACACGGUCCAGACUCCUACGGGAGGCAGCAGUAGGGAAUCUUCCGCAAUGGGCGAAAGCCUGACGGAGCAGCGCCGCGUGAGUGAUGAAGGUCUUCGGAUCGUAAAACUCUGUUAUUAGGGAAGAACAAAUGUGUAAGUAACUAUGCACGUCUUGACGGUACCUAAUCAGAAAGCCACGGCUAACUACGUG